GACGAACGCUGGCGGCGUGCCUAAUACAUGCAAGUCGAGCGGACAGACGGGAGCUUGCUCCCUGAUGUUAGCGGCGGACGGGUGAGUAACACGUGGGUAACCUUCCUGUAAGACUGGGAUAACUCCGGGAAACCGGGGCUAAUACCGGAUGGUUGUCUGAACCGCAUGGUUCAGACAUAAAAUGUGGCUUCGGCUACCACUUACAGAUGGACCCGCGGCGCAUUAGCUAGUUGGUGAGGUAACGGCUCACCAAGGCAACGAUGCGUAGCCGACCUGAGAGGGUGAUCGGCCACCCUGGGACUGAGACACGGCCCAGACUCCUACGGGAGGCAGCAGUAGGGAAUCUUCCGCAAGGGACGAAAGUCUGACGGAGCAACGCCGCGUGAGUGAUGAAGGUUUUCGGAUCGUAAAGCUCUGUUGUUAGGGAAGAACAAGUGCCGUUCAAAUAGGGCGGCACCUUGACGGUACCUAACCAGAAAGCCACGGCUAACUACGUG
rnacentral:rRNA from 1 species